GACGAACGCUGGCGGCGUGCCUAAUACAUGCAAGUAGGACGCAGUUGCGAACGGGUGAGUAACGCGUAGGUAACUGCCUAUUAGAGGGGGAUAACUAUUGGAAACGAUAGCUAAUACCGCAUACUAGUAGAUGGACCUGCGUUGUAUUAGCUAGUAGGUAGGGUAAUGGCCUACCUAGGCGACGAUACAUAGCCGACCUGAGAGGGUGAUCGGCCACACUGGGACUGAGACACGGCCCAGACUCCUACGGGAGGAAGCAGUAGGGAAUCUUCGGCAAUGGGGGGAAACCUGACCGAGCAACGCCGCGUGAGAGACGAAGGUUUUCGGCGCGUACAGCUCUGUUGUAUAGGAAGCGGUACUUAACCAGAAAGGGACGGCUAACUACGGGCCAGCAGCCGCGGUAAUUC
rnacentral:rRNA from 1 species